rnacentral:lncRNA from 1 species
AUGCAGCACGGGGCCGCGUGCCGGCAAGGGGUCCCCGAGCCCCACGAGCCCCCGGGCCGGCGGUACCUGGGUCCUGCUGCGGCGUGCGGGGCAGGAGGCGAGGGCCCGCUGCCCCCGGGCUGGGUGUGCAGAAAUGAACCCGGGCGAGAGAGGCGAUGGGAAAGCAGCGGGCGGCUCUCCGGGCCCCCCGCCCCGCGCACGAUUCUUAUUCAAAUGCGCUGCCCGCUGAAAGGGACGGCGGUCUCCAGGCUACGGGAAUGUCACUGCCGAUUCCUUCUGCCUGGAGGCCCUCGCCACCCGCCCGCCAGCGGGGAUGUGGGGGCCAAGCCGGGCCAGGCGUCGGCAGCCUGGGCACGCCCCGGCCCCGGUGGGGAACAAAAGGUGCCUCGUGGGCCGGCAAGCCAGCAGCGCCGCGUUCCCCGGGGCUCCCGGCUCGGCGCGGCGGGAAUGCGCCUGCCGUGGCUUGCAGCGGGGCGGCACGGCACAGCACGGCGGGACGGGUGCCCGACGCCCUGGGAACCGGCUGGUGUGGCUGUUUGUGGGGCCAGGCUGUGGCCCCGCUUCCUUCCCCAGCUGGGAAUGCCCCACGGCACAGACACCGGCAGGGCUCCGCAGUGGGGCUGUGCCGGGUUCCCGCAGGCCCAGGGGGUGCCCACCCUCCCCACGGACACGGCUCGUUGGGUGAAGUCCAGCAUGUGCCCACCCCGGGAAGCGCCCGGUGGGUGCGGGAGGACCCAGCCCCUCUCCACAGGGUCCCCACAGCCCCUUCCUUGUGUGCCACCCACCCACGCCCACUCCCAGGGUGAGGGGUUCCACGCCCCGGGGCUCCACGUCGGCUCCUACCUGUGCGCACGGGGCUGGCACGGCGGGCAGGUGGCCGUGCCCCGGGUGGGCUGCGGAGCGGGGCCCCCACGGCACCCGCUGGGCUCGGGGCUGGGCUCGGCUGCUUGUUCCUGGAGGAGGGCGGCCGGCGCCUGUCUCCUCCUCCGCGAGCCGUGCCAGGCGAGGGGAGGGACCUGCCUGCGCCGAGGUUUAGCCAAGGUGAGGCGGAGGCCAGGUGCCAGCCGGCGGUGGCCCACGCACAACGUGACGGUGCCCCGUGGGCUGGCCGGGAGCUGGCGCGACGUCCCCGGGGGCUGCCGUGCCCCGUGGCGCGGCACCGCCAACGCGUGGCACGGCCGGGACUCGCCGUGGGGGCCCGUCUGUGCCCAUGCAGGCGUGUCUCCGCCAGCAGCAUGCGGAGCCCCGGGGCGGCAGGGCAGCCAGCCACGUUCCCCCGCAGGACGGAUCCUGCUCCCCCGGCGCUGGCACCGUGGGCACCGCCAAGCCCUGAGCCAGCCCAGCCCCGCUCACCGAAUGCCAGAUCCCGAGAUCCUGGGGAGCGGCCGGGCUCGGCAAAGCCCUCGCUGUCACGCGGGGACGGCGCCUUUUAUUAGCCAAGGCUGGAGGAAGGAAGGGGACCCAGGCGCACCGAGGCUGUGCUCUGGCCGCACGCCGGUGAGCGAGGUGUCGGGAAGAUACAGCAGGAAGGUACACGGGAAGAGAAAGCAGCCCCCAGGGCCCAGCAGGGCUCGAUGGAUGCCCUGA